AUAAAGAUGUGGGUGAUCUUGGCAUCAUGAUGUGUGUAUUAGGUGAUUCUGGAAGUAUGGCACUCUCAUUUUCUGUAAUCUGCAGUCAGUAUACUGGAACGCAUGUACAUUGGCUCAAACCAAGCAGGAAAAAGGCCAGAAGAGUUUGCGCCAUGUCAUAACCGAGUAAAAGCCUUAAUUAUUGUCGGACUCCGACUUGGGUUGAUCAUUAGUCGAAUGUGAUGCUUGAAGGUACUCUACUUUAUUUGCAAAUCCUACAACAGUAUUUACCCCUGUUUAUAAUCAUUCUUUAUUAAUGGUUUGUGGAUUCCAUGUUCGUAAAAUAUUUUCAGCUGCCAACUCACAUGAGAGGAGGAAAUGGCAAGGUAGCUUAUAUCGACACAAAAGGAAGCAAAAGGAACUUUGUAUGCUAUUAUAAUCUGUCUGUAUUUUUCUUGACCUUGACAAAGCUGCUUGUGCUUCAUAAACGCCGUCUGUCCAUGUAAGCGCAUGUGCACUUCCUUAACUUGGUACACCUGCAGUUGCGGUGAUUGAAUUGUACCACUUGCCAAGAGAUUUGGCAUGGAUCCUGCUGCAGUCCUAGAUAAUAUCAUUUAUGCCCGUGUCUAUACUUAGGAGCAUCAGUAAGAUUUGCUUCUUGAUUUGGAUGCCAAAAUGUGUGAAGAACCAUUUAGAUUACUAAUAAGACAGUGCUCGAGAAUGAAACUGCACACAUUUUGUGAGGUGUGGAUGGUUGACCUUAGGUGAGUAACAUCUUUCAGAUUAUGUAUUCGAUGAUCCCUCUCUUUCAAAUGGGUAUUAUUGGAAGGGGAGAACUUGCAAAGAGCCAGGUCCAUUGUAACCGUCAAAUCAUGCGAGUUGUGAUUUUUGAGCUUAUCUUGUUUGACACUAAAAAAUUCCGAAUUGCAGCAAAAAUUCGCACAAGUGCUCUCAGGCUUACUUAAGAUAGCUAAGGAAUUUAAUGUGGCGGUGUGCAUAACCAAUCAAGCAUCAAAGAAACCUGCAGGAGGGCAUGUUCUGGCUCAUGCAGCCACAAUUAGGUUGAUGCUUAGGAAAGGCAGAGGUGAGCAGCGGGUUUGCAAGGUGUUCAAAGCCCCAAACCUACCUAAAGCUGAAGCUACAUCCUUUUUGUGCCGGACCUUCUUCUUGCCAUACACUUCAUUGAAAUCUACCAGAUUAUACUGCAGAGACCAAACAAAAUAUCUAGAAAUUUUUAUCAAUUGGAGAGAGUCGAUACUAAGUCUAUAUAUGGAUAGGUGGAGACCAGAAUUUGAACAGUAUACUUGCAGUGUACUUACAUGCGCAGCCUGUGCUAUGGAAACAAAAUACCCAACCAUUGGUGAUGCCAUACUGCAGAUCUUCCUCUAGUUAUAUACUUCGUUGAAAUUUAUCAGACCAUACUGCGGAGAUCAAGUGAAAGUCCGGAAGUCUAUAUCAAAAUCUGUGAGACAGUGUAUACUUAGUCAACAUAGGGAUAGGCGGAGACCUGAUUUAAGCAUGAUACUCACGGUAUACUUGAUGUUGCUUGGAGAUCCAUGAACACGUUGAAUACGAAUUUUGUGUGGAGGAAUUAAACAAAAAGAAGUGGAUAUCGGGAAUUUUCCUCUGUAGGAUUGGCAUAUUAUUAUUAGCUGUGCUGUUAUGUAGAUGAUGCACAUCUAUCCAGACCAUCACUCAAGUUUGUCAGAAAAUUUAGCAAGAGCUGAGAUUUAUUCCAUCCAUGUUGAACUUGACAAACACACGUUUUUCAGAUAACACCAGGAGGCAUUGCUGAUGCUAAGGACCGAAGAAGUCUCUCCAACCAGGAAGGCAGGCGAAAUGCUUUUUUUUUUUUUUUUUUUUGGUUAAUCUGCAAUUUGAUGUUAGUCAUCGUAUUGACAGCUAGAGGCAUAUAAUGAGCUCCCAAGCACUUGUUCAUUUCCUUUCUCUGCAAUGGACACUUUGUCGCCCUUGUCAUAGCUUGUCCCUAAGUUUCAUGUGC